CGGCGACGUUACCCAGAGCAGUCUUACAGUCAGUGCAAGGUUUCCGCGAGAUUCUCAGCCCAUUCAGUGUCCGCUUAACGCUGGACCGGACAGCGGUUUCUCCCCUUCUCGGUGCUGUACGAGGGACAAAGAGCGCAGAGAAAAGGGACUUGAAGCACUGUCCAGCAAAGCGUCGUGGACUCUUCAAACCUUUCUUAUGACAAAGUACCAGCAGCUUGUGCUCUUUCUGUGCACUGCCAGAUGCUGUCAGCGUGAUGAUUUCACACCAAAGAUCAAGCUUUCAGACACAGAAAACCCUCUACAAAGAUUAUUUGACCUUUCUUCAGGUGCCUGUGGGGAUAUCACUUGGAAAAUAUAAGCACUCUCAUUAAGAUUCCUGGUGACGGUUGCAGACGAGGUGGUCCUGCGUAACACAACUGCAGGGUCUCACAUCCUGAGUCUUUAAAGAUUGUGCAAGUACAAAGAGUGGCUUACUGGUGCUCCAAAUUAAGCCAAACUGUUUUGUUUUACUUUGAACAAGUGCUGUUUGCCUUGUGUUUUCUGAAUGUAUCCUGCUUGCCUGAUUUACUGUCUAUCUUACAGCACAUUUUGGAGUCUUGUAGACCUCUUCUUUCGUGUUUCUCUUCCUUUUAAAAUAGAGAUAUACAACCUUUCCAUAACAAACAACUGCUGAUUAGAGUCACAGUUUUUCCUUUCUCACUUCAGACUGUCACUAACCCCUCUCUGUCCAAGACUUCUGCUUUGCUUUGGGCCAGCACACACUGUCACGGUGUUUCAAACGCUGGUCCAGAACAGCUGGCUUGUGCGCGAUCUCAGCUUUCAUGGAGAAUGUGAAAAUGCAGAUAAUAUUGUAAUGAAGAAAACUUGAAAUCCUGAACUGCGCAUACCUGAUGGAGAGCUGCCUGAAUUCACAAACACACUGAAACCAUACCUCUGCUAUGUGCGAAGUAAGCUCUUCAUCUUUGUUAAAAAGCUGUUUAGUCGAGUGAUUGGAGUUAUGGCUUUGCUAAAGCCCUUGCUGAUUGGAGAUGUUUAAAAUUUUUAAUCCUUUUGAAAUGAAUGACAUUUAAAUUCAUUUUAUUGCUUUUGCCAAUUCUAACUAAACCUCCACUGCAAUCAUUGCUGUUACUUACAUUGAUGGGAGAGAAAACAGUAGGCCAACCUGUGUUGAUAUUGGUAGUGUACAUAUAAUUUCUUAGUGUGCCUACUGUCAGUUUUCUUUUUUCCAGUUGUACUUGCCUGUUCUUUAGGACAUUUUGCUCUCUGUAGUAACCCGCUGCCAAAUCUUAUAAAACAACAUUUCCUUUUAUAUUAAGAAUACUACCAGCACCUUGUAAAGAGGAAUUCUCUUCUUGUAUCUGGCAUUAAGAGUGUGUCAUUAAAGAAACUGCAG